GACGAACGCUGGCGGCGUGCUUAACACAUGCAAGUCGAACGGAAAGGCCCUGCUUUUGUGGGGUGCUCGAGUGGCGAACGGGUGAGUAACCCGUGAGUAACCUGCCCUUGACUUUGAGAUAACUUCAGGAAACUGGGGCUAAUACCGGAUAGGAGCUCCUGCUGCAUGGUGGGGGUUGGAAAGUUUCGGCGGUUGGGGAUGGACUCGCGGCUUAUCAGCUUGUUGGUGGGGUAGUGGCUUACCAAGGCUUUGACGGGUAGCCGGCCUGAGAGGGUGACCGGCCACAUUGGGACUGAGAUACGGCCCAGACGCCUACGGGAGGCAGCAGUGGGGAAUAUUGCACAAUGGGCGGAAGCCUGAUGCAGCAACGCCGCGUGCGGGAUGACGGCCUUCGGGUUGUAAACCGCUUUCGCCUGUGACGAAGCGUGAGUGACGGUAAUGGGUAAAGAAGCACCGGCUAACUACGUG
rnacentral:rRNA from 1 species